rnacentral:sRNA from 1 species
GCUGGCUGCGGUGGCUCACACCUGUAAUCCCAGAGGCUUGGGAGCCUGAGACAGGAGGAUCAUGAGUUCAAAGCCAGCCACAGCAACGGCAAGGCCCUUAGCAACUCAGUGAGAUCCUGUCUCUA